GACGAACGCUGGCGGCGUGCUUAACACAUGCAAGUCGAGCGGUAAGGCCCUUUCGGGGGUACACGAGCGGCGAACGGGUGAGUAACACGUGGGUGACCUGCCUUUAGCUCUGGGAUAAGCCUGGGAAACUGGGUCUAAUACCGGAUAUGACUCCGCGGUGCAUGCUGUGGGGUGGAAAGCCUUGUGCGGCUGAAGAUGGGCCCGCGGCCUAUCAGCUUGUUGGUGGGGUGAUGGCCUACCAAGGCGA
rnacentral:rRNA from 1 species